rnacentral:rRNA from 1 species
UCGGGAAUUUUGGGCAAUGGGCGAAAGCCUGACCCAGCAACGCCGCGUGAAGGAUGAAAUCCCUCGGGAUGUAAACUUCGCAAGAAUGGGAAGAAUAAGUGGGGGAUAAUACCCCCCAUGAUGACGGUACCAUUUGUAAGCUCCGGCUAACUUCGUGCCAGCAGCCGCGGUAAUACGAGGGGAGCAAGCGUUGUUCGGAUUUACUGGGCGUAAAGGGCGCGUAGGCGGUCGUGACAAGUCACUUGUGAAAUCUCCGGGCUUAACUCGGAACGGUCAAGUGAUACUGUCGGACUAGAGUACAGAAGGGGCAACUGGAAUUCUCGGUGUAGCGGUGAAAUGCGUAGAUAUCGAGAGGAACACCUGCGGCGAAGGCGGGUUGCUGGGCUGAUACUGACGCUGAGGCGCGAAAGCCAGGGGAGCGAACGGGAUUAGAUACCCCGGUAGUCCUGGCCUUAAACGAUGAAUGCUUGGUGUCUCGGGUUACAAAGUCCC